rnacentral:lncRNA from 1 species
UAGCUGAGCGGUCUGCUUUGCUGCAGAAGGCAAUUGCUCAGUCUCAGAGUGUUCAGGAAAGUAUGGAGAGCCUCCUGCAGUCCAUGAAGGAAGUUGAGCAAAACCUGGAAGGGGAGCAGGUGGCAGCACUCUCAUCAGGACUCAUCCAAGAGGCCUUGGCCAACAACAUGAAACUAAAGCAAGACAUUGCUAGGCAAAAAAGCAGCUUGGAAGCCACCCGUGAGAUGGUCACUCGAUUCAUGGAGACCGCUGACGGCAACUCGGCCGCAGUGCUGCAGGACAGACUGGCAGAGCUGAGCCAGCGAUUCCAUCGGCUGCAGCUCCAGCAGCAAGAAAAGGAAAGCGGCCUGAAGAAGCUCCUGCCCCAGGCCGAGACAUUCGAGCAGCUCUCCAGCAAGCUGCAGCAGUUCGUGGAACACAAAAACCGACUGCUGGCCUCAGGGAACCAG